rnacentral:rRNA from 1 species
GACGAACGCUGGCGGCGUGCUUAACACAUGCAAGUCGAACGAUGAAGCUAGAGCUUGCUCUGGUGAAUUAGUGGCGAACGGGUGAGUAACACGUGAGUAACCUGCCCCGAACUCUGGGAUAACUGCUGGAAACGGUAGCUAAUACUUGAUACGACCUACGAAGGCAUCUUCUGUAGGUGGAAAGAAUUUCGGUUCGGGAUGGACUCGCGGCCUAUCAGCCUGUUGGUGAGGUAAGGGCUCACCAAGGGGACGACGGGUAGCCGGCCUGAGAGGGUAACCGGACAAACGUGGACUGGGACACGGCCCAGACCCCUGCGGGAGGAAGCAGUGGGGGAUAUUGCACAAUGGGCGGAAGCCUGAUGCAGCAACGCCGCGUGAGGGAUGACGGCCUUCGGGUUGUAAACCUCUUUUAGUAGGGAAGAAGCGAAAGUGACGGUACCUGCAGAAAAAGCACCGGCUAACUACGUGCCAGCCGCCGCAGUAA